ensembl:lncRNA
CGUUCCACCACUCCAGCCCCCACUACAGGGAUUUUGAAGAAAAUAUUUACAUGAUGAUUAUGGUGGUACAAAGGAAGUGUACUGAAUCUGAUCAUCAAAACACAACUGCAUAUCAAUAACAUCGAAGGAACAGUAAACUGAGCUUCAAUGUAUAAUAGAAUAGCUGGAAACUGGAAACAACUUAUAUGUCUCUCAACAGAAGAAUGGAUAAAGAAAAUGCAGUACACUUACACAAUACAGUAUUACUUGGACAAUUAAAAACUGAAAUCAUGAAGAUUUCAGGCAAAUGGAAUUAGGAAAGAAAGAUCACCCUGAAUGAGGGCUCAGAGAACCAGUGGAAGAGGAGAAAGAAGGAGUAUAAGAGCCAGAGGGAUGGGGGACAGCAAGAAAACAAGGCCCUGUAAACCAACGGGACUGAUGUACACAUGAACUUACAGAGACUGAGGCAUCGUGCACAGGGCUUACAUGGGUCUGCACCAGCUGGGGUCCUCUUGCUGCAAGGAGAAGCAGACACAUGCCCCGAGCCCUAACCAGAAGCAUUGAUAACCAGUCGAUGGAUAACCACUUGCAAAUGAAAACUUCGUUUUCUUCAAGGGAGUUGCACUGGGGAAACAAACGACUCUGAAGGGUAGGCUGCUUGCACUGCAGUAACGACUCUGAAGGGUAGACUGCUUGCACUGCAGUAGUUGGUCAAACUCACUGGCAUCCUUGGGGGUUCUUGUCCCAAAAUGUUGUCAGAGCUUUGUUUUUAAUCUUAUUUUAUAUUUAAAUUUUUAUGUGUAUUUUUUCCUCUUUGUACUCUUCAGGUUCUUGGGGUAUAUACCAAGGCUUUCAGUUUCGUGUUACAGGCAACGACUGAGCGUGAGAAUGAGUGGCUCUCUGAUUCUUGUGCCCUCUCUUGGGCUCUUUUACUUGGGCUU